UAAAAGAUAAGCUAAAAAUAAGCUGACGGGUUCAUACCCCUUUUAUGGAAAGAUCCUCUUUUUA
rnacentral:tRNA from 1 species